UGUAAUUUGAGUGACCGAAAUUGGGGAGAGAUGCCAAGACGGUUGCCGCGUAUGUAUUCGAAAAAGAAUUGACCGAGCACGCACGGCACGCACGACACGCACGGCAUUAUAUAUAAGUCCGCUCCCCCCCAGCUUCCCUUCUCCUCCAUAAAUCGCUUCCCAUAUUUUGCAUUCCUCUGUCCUCCGCGGAAACCAUUUCCGUACUUCCAAUUGGAGAAAAUUUUCAGAUUCAGAGGGAAAACGGUUUCCUCCCUCCCAGACACACCAUGAAGAAAUCAGGCAUCAUAGCAGCCUCCGUCGCUGCCGCUUCCGCCACUGCGAUCUCCUCCGCGUCCUCCAAAAUUCACUUUCCUCGAGAGGAUGAGUGUGUGAGGAAAAGCAGCGAGAAUUCUGGAUCACAGGGAUCGUCCUCUCCGGAUAAAUUUGCGCCGAGGUUUGAUGGAUUGAGAUUCAUAGAGACACUGGUCACAGCUCAUAGAUGAGAAUAAUGCUUUUCUUUUCUUUCUUUUUCACCCUUUAUUUUGGGUGCCCAAAAAAUUGAAAAUUCAGAGAGAGACAGAGUCUUGAUUAUUGGUGAUUGUUAUGGUAAUUUACUGUUAGGAAGCUAAUUUUAUUGUCUGUAUCGUUGCUGGGGAAAAAAUGUAAUGAUGAUGACAGAUAUGAAAAUGUUUUUAGUCUAUUCUUGCUGAUGGUUAGAGCUGA